rnacentral:rRNA from 1 species
GUAGGUGGCAAGCGUUGUCCGGAAUUAUUGGGCGUAAAGCGCGCGCAGGCGGUUCUUUAAGUCUGAUGUGAAAGCCCACGGCUCAACCGUGGAGGGUCAUUGGAAACUGGAGAACUUGAGUACAGAAGAGGAAAGCGGAAUUCCACGUGUAGCGGUGAGAUGCGUAGAGAUGUGGAGGAACACCAGUGGCGAAGGCGGCUUUCUGGUCUGUAACUGACGCUGAGGCGCGAAAGCGUGGGGGGAGCAAACAGGAUUAGAUACCCUGGUAGUCCACGCCGUAAACGAUGAGUGCUAAGUGUUAGGGGGUUUCCGCCCCCCCCUUAGUGCUGCAGCUAACGCAUUAAGCACUCCGCCCUGGGGAGUACGGCCGCAAGGCUG